rnacentral:lncRNA from 10 species
CACCAGCUGUGGCCUUGGGGAGCCCCCUCCCCACUACCACUUCAUGGCGCCCACCCACUACCGUUGCCCUCAUCAGCAAGGACAGCUUUUAUGAGCAUUCAACAGAAGUCACCGCCUGGAUCACUCACUCCAGGGGAAGCUGGCUGCUGAGUCAUGAAGAGGUCCAUGCAGCCCUCCGGAGAAGCCCAUGGGAGACACUGAGGCCUCCAGCCAACAGCGACCAACCCCUUGCUAGGGGUGAGGAAGACUCUUGGAAGACUGUUCAGCCCCAGAAAGCCUUGAGGUGAUCAUGGCUUAGACCAGCAUCUUAGCUGCAACCUCAUGGGAGACCUAGAGGCAGAGCCAUCCAGCUGGGCCAUUCCCUGGCUCCUGCCCUGCAGAAGCCCUGUGAUACCGUAUAAUUUGAGACAUUACUCAGUUCUAAGCUCAGAGAGGAGACUUCUUUUCAAGGUCAUUGCAUACGGUUGAGCAAGUUGGCCACUGCACAAACAUGCCCAGCAGAGUUGAUUUUCCAGCAAACCUUCAGAGGGAGAAGGAGAAAUUGUCCCUCGGCCCCUACAGUUUUGGCACUGUGAGCAGGAGACUGACACCAUUCUGCUCUCCUGGGAGCUGCAGUGAAGGAAACCCAGGACCUGACAAACUGGCAGAAGGGUAAGAAUUUCUUACCAGCCGGGCUCCCAGCCUCUCUCUGUAAAAUCCAGUCAAGCAAAUAGUAAAAAUGACUGUCGUUUUUCUCUCUGCAAAAUUUUGAUUGAUGGGAGAAAAGGAUUUGUGUGGCUAGUCUUGGGUGUGGCAACUCUGGUGUACUUUUUGGUAGGAAUAUUACUAUUGUUUGAUCUUUUUUCCUCCCAGAAAUAGUCCUUUCCUUUGUUUUUGUCUUUUUUUGUUGCUCUGUCAUAACAAGGGGUCCCAUAGUGUUACCGGAAAGCGGUCCCGAUCCAGACCCCAAGAGAGGGUUCUUGGAUCUCGCGCAAGAAAGAAUUCAAGAUGAAUCCAUAGAGUAAAGUGAAAGUAAUUAAGAAAGUAAAGGAAUAAGGCCGGGCGUGGUGGCUCAUGCCUGUAAUCCCAGCACUUUGGGAGGCGGGUGGAUUACUUGAGGCCAGGAGUUCAAGAUCACCUUGGCCAACAUGGUGACCCCAUCUCUACUAAAAAUACAAAAAUUAGCCGGGCAUGGUGGCAGGUGCCUGUAAUCCUAGCUACUCAGGAGGCUGAGGCAGGAGAAUCGCUCAAACCUGGGAGGUGGAGGUUGCAGUGAGCUGAGAGCACGCCAGUGCACUCCAUCCUGGGUGACAAGAACGAA